GACGAACGCUGGCGGCGCGCUUAACACAUGCAAGUCGAACGGAAAGGCCUGCUUUCCCUUGUGGAUUGCGGGUACUCGAGUGGCGAACGGGUGAGUAACACGUGAGUGAUCUGCCCCCAACUUGGGUAUAAGCCUGGGAAACUGGGUCUAAUUCCCGAUAGGACUGCAGGGUGGUGCCUGUGGUGGAAAACGAUUUUCUAGUGGUUGGGGAUGAGCUCGCGGCCUAUCAGCUUGUUGGUGGGGUAAUGGCCUACCAAGGCGGCGACGGGUAGCCGGCCUGAGAGGGUGGACGGCAACAUUGGGACUGAGAUACGGCCCAGACUCCUACGGGAGGCAGCAGUGGGGAAUAUUGCACAAUGGGCGGAAGCCUGAUGCAGCGACGCCGCGUGGGGGAUGACGGCCUUCGGGUUGUAAACUCCUUUCGACCGCGAGGAAGCCACCUGGUUGGAAGGGUGGUGACGUUAGUGGUAGAAGAAGCACCGGCUAACUACGUG
rnacentral:rRNA from 1 species